rnacentral:lncRNA from 1 species
UAGGUCUCGGGCCAUUGAAGAUCAGCAUUUUAAAGGGGAAUCCCCAGGCGAAGCGUAGGCCUUUUGCUCUGACGAGGUCCGCGACGGGUUUCCAUUCCCUCCUUCUCGCCAGGGUUGCUGGGGCGAUAUCUUGAUAGAUCUGGAGCUCCUUCCCUUUGUAGGUGUAUUGGUGGUUCCUGCUCCGUUUAAGUAUGGCUUCCUUUGUGGAGUAAAAGUGCCAUCUGAUGAUUAUAUCUCUGGGGGGACUAUUUUGUGGGCCCUUCGCAUGGAGUGCUCUGUGGAUCCUGUCAAUGUGCCACAAGUGGUCCGGGAUCUGUGGCAGACUGGCGCAGAAACAUUCCGCCAUUACUUGUUCUAAGUCGCCAUCUUGUACCUCUUCUGGUAAGCCGCGUACGCACAUAUUGUUGCGCCUUGUUCUGUUGGAGCUGUCCUCCAGCUCCAUUUCCAGUGCAGCUACCCUGGUCAGAAGUGCAUUGGUGGCCGUGGUGGUGGAAUUGUGAGCUGUCACUACCUCCUCCAAUCUGCUUUCCAGGGCCUCCGUACUGACUCCAAUGGCCUGGAUUUCGUCCUUCACCUCCCUGGCCGUGCGCUCUAUCUCCCCUGCCAGGUACCCCUUUACCUCCUCCAGCGACUGCAGUAUAGCACUGUGACGAAGUGCCCUUUGCCACUUGUGCCUGGAGAGGACUGCUUGCCCGCCUCUUGCCCUGUGACUAUGGCCCCUGGGAUGUAUUGCCCUUUAAAGACAUGAUUUGGGCAUAAUGGAUUUGUGUUGUGCUGCUGCUGGCCCUUUAAGAACCAUCUAGGGACAUACUGUGGAGUUACUGGGUGGCCACCAUUUCCUGUAUCAGAAGCACAUGGUGAGAACAAUGGAUGGCGGCCAUUUUAACUCACAGACACUGUUUGGACUUUUCAACACGGUGCCAUCUCGCCAGUAUUUGGUGCACAGAGACAUCGUGCAGUGGUUUUGGACUAUACAGCAGGGGACACAUUAUAAAGUGAUUGUUUUUCAUUUAGCCUGUAUAUGUUCUGCAUUAUCUGCAUUAAACUGUAUUUUCCAAAGUACUGAACGGAUCUGGGUGAAUUUUGGAUAUGUGGUUCACCCAGAUCCCCCGGUUUAUGGGGUUAUUGCAUGUUUUGGGGUCCCUGUGUGUUUUAUAAAAUUGUAAUGUUUCUGGCCAGCAGAUAAUUGAGCUUUGUGUAUUGUAGAAACUCAAUUAUCUAGCCUGGCCCAGAGGAGGAGUUUUGUGUUGCAUAAAUUGUGAGUUCUGUGUGCCAGUAAAUCACUCUUGUUCCAGCAUUAAGCCUUGGCUCAUGUUUGGGGGAAGGGAUACCUACACUCUGGGUAUUGCUAUAAUCACUUACUCCCCAGAGGAAGCUCUUGCAAUAGCUUGAUUUGUUCCUGUUCCUGCUCUCUGGGGAAAGAGAGGUUCACCCACUGGAAGCUGGAUCCUGGCCUUGGGUCCAGGGUGGGUGGAAACAGCAGAGACCCCGGCGCAGUUGCAUCGCUGGAAGUGGGGUCUGCAGUGCUGAUGGUGUCGGUUGGAGUGCUUGGAGUCCUCAGCGAGCACUAGGAGCAUCGAUUGGCGGAGAUACUCAGUCGGAGUGCCAGCGUUCCGUCACAAGCACAGUGGGGGUCCUCUGCUUGGCCAUAGAGAGACGUUGGUGUAGCAGGGGGGCUCAAAGAGGACGCGCCCGUCGGGCUUUCGGCGCCUUGCAUCCCACGUGGCGCUGCCUUAAUGGCGGCCAGCAUGUCCGCAACGGAGGGAUUAUCCCCUCUCUGUUUUUUCGCCGCCGCCUUCCGGUGUGACAUGGUGUUGGGGUCGGCUGCCACGGAUCACUGACUGUGCUGUAGGGGGACUGUGUCGUCGGUAAGCUGUUUGCCGGGCUUUUUGCUGAGCCUGCGGUGCGGAGCUCCGGAGUUAGGCUGCCAUCACUCUCGGAGUCCAAGCCACGCCCCCCGCUGUAUUGGAAUCUUUGUAACAUCUCAGUGAUAGACAUCUCACUGACAUCAGCUGCUGUUGUGCUAAAA